UCCUACGGGGGGCAGCAGUAGGGAAUAUUGCACAAUGGGCGAAAGCCUGAUGCAGCAACGCCGCGUGCGCGAUGAAGGCCUUCGGGUUGUAAAGCGCUUUUCGGGGAGAUGAGGAAGGACAGUAUCCCCGGAAUAAGGCUCGGCUAACUACGUGCCAGCAGCCGCGGUAACACGUAGGAGUCAAGCGUUAUCCGAAUUCACUGGGCGUAAAGCGCGUGCAGGCGGCUUGGUAAGUUGGAUGUGAAAUCUCCUGGCUCAACUGGGAGAGGACGUUCAAUACUGUCAAGCUAGAGGGCGACAGAGGGAGGUGGAAUUCCCGGUGUAGUGGUGAAAUGCGUAGAUAUCGGGAGGAACACCAGUGGCGAAAGCGGCCUCCUGGGUCGCACCUGACGCUCAGACGCGAAAGCUAGGGGAGCGAACGGGAUUAGAUACCCCGGUAGUCCC
rnacentral:rRNA from 1 species